AAAUAAAUAAAUAAAUAAAAAGGAGAUACUUUUAGAAUGACUUGCUUUCCUGAAUCUUUGAGAAGCAUUGUUUCUAUUCCAUUAACUGAAGAAAAAAUCUUUAAAUGCUAGAAGAAUUUAUUUAUCUGAUUUUGGUGAAACAUAGCGUCUUUGUGGUGAUCCUGAUGGACUACAACAGAAUUUGCUAAGGCCAAUAAAAAUGACAAAAAUGAUGUCAAAACAAUAAGUUACAGAUUAAAGGCUAUCCAGCUCACUGCUUAUAAAAAAGCUUGGGAUAGUAGCAAUUAAAAAACCUGUUACAGUACCAGAACUAGAAUAACUUCCUAAGUAUAAUUGCAAAUAUUGAUAGUUCCAAAUGAAAUCACAUUAAAUAUACACCAAUAACAAAUUUCCAGGAUAUUCUGGCCAUAUGCAAUACAGAAAGUAAAUAAUGAGUAUAAACAUAAUUUUGAUAAUAAAAGACUGAUCUUACUUACCUGGGUGCCACUCCCAUUGUCACUUCCACCCCCAACAUUUAAACCACUGCUUUCACUAUCAUCUUCAUCAUUGCUUCCAGUGCCGUUGUCAGACUUUUCAACACUCCUUGAUUUUACAGAUUUUUGAGUCUGUGUGCCACUUUCACUUCCACUAGCACUAG
rnacentral:misc_RNA from 1 species